UUCCCCUACGGGAGGCAGCAGUGGGGGAUAUUGCACAAUGGGGGAAACCCUGAUGCAGCGACGCCGCGUGGGUGAAGAAGCGCCUCGGCGCGUAAAGCCCUGUCAGCGGGGAAGAAAAUGACGGUACCUGAAGAAGAAGCCCCGGCUAACUACGUGCCAGCAGCCGCGGUAAUACGUAGGGGGCAAGCGUUAUCCGGAUUUACUGGGUGUAAAGGGGGCGCAGACGGCGAUGCAAGCCAGGAAUGAAAGCCCGGGGCCCAACCCCGGGACUGCUCUUGGAAAUGCGUGGCUAGAGUGCAGGAGGG
rnacentral:rRNA from 1 species